UACGGGGGGAGCAAGCGUUGUUCGGAUUACUGGGCGUAAAGGGCGCGUAGGCGGCCACCGCAAGUCGACUGUGAAAUCUCCGGGCUUAACUCGGAACGGUCAAGUGAUACUGUCGGACUAGAGUACAGAAGGGGCAACUGGGAAUUCUCGGUGUAGCGGUGAAAUGCGUAGAUAUCGAGAGGAACACCUGCGGCGAAGGCGGGUUGCUGGGCUGACACUGACGCUGAAGCGCGAAAGCUAGGGGAGCGAACGGG
rnacentral:rRNA from 1 species